GAUGAACGCUGGCGGCGUGCCUAAUACAUGCAAGUCGAGCGAACGGACGAGAAGCUUGCUUCUCUGAUGUUAGCGGCGGACGGGUGAGUAACACGUGGAUAACCUACCUAUAAGACUGGGAUAACUUCGGGAAACCGGAGCUAAUACCGGAUAAUAUUUUGAACCGCAUGGUUCAAAAGUGAAAGACGGUCUUGCUGUCACUUAUAGAUGGAUCCGCGCUGCAUUAGCUAGUUGGUAAGGUAACGGCUUACCAAGGCAACGAUGCAUAGCCGACCUGAGAGGGUGAUCGGCCACACUGGAACUGGGACACGGUCCCGACUCCUACGGGAGGCAGCAGUAGGGAAUCUUCCGCAAUGGGCGAAAGCCUGACGGAGCAACGCCGCGUGAGUGAUAAAGGUCUUCGGAUCGUAAAACUCUGUUAUUAGGGAAGAACAUAUGUGUAAGUAACUGUGCACAUCUUGACGGUACCUAAUCAGAAAGCCACGGCUAACUACGUG
rnacentral:rRNA from 1 species